AGGACGAACGCUGGCGGCGUGCUUCAUACAUGCAAGUCGAACGAUAAGGUCUCUUCGGAGAUACAUAAGUGGCGGACGGGUGAGUAAAAUGUAGAGAAUCUGCCCUAGAGAGUGGGACAACAGAGGGAAACUUCUGCUAAUACCGCAUAUGAGCGUAGCUGAGAUGCUAUUCUUGAAAACUCCGGUGCUCUAGGAUGAGUCUGCAUCUGAUUAGCUAGUUGGGGGUGUAAUGGACCACCAAGGCGACGAUCAGUAGCUGGUUUGAGAGGAUGAUCAGCCACAAUGGGACUGAGACACGGCCCAUACUCCUACGGGAGGCAGCAGUAGGGAAUUUUGCGCAAUGGGGGGAACCCUGACGCCAGCAACGCCGCGUGACCGAUGAAGCCCUUCGGGGUGUAAAGGUCUGUCAGUGGGGACGAAGAAUGACGGUACCCACAGAGGAAGCAUCGGCUAACUCCGUGCCAGCCGCGGC
rnacentral:rRNA from 1 species